rnacentral:rRNA from 1 species
GGAGAUGUUCUAACCCUUUGUUGUCCGACUCUGUUGCCUCCGGGGCGACCCUGCCUUCGGGCGGGGGCUCCGGGUGGACACUUCAAACUCUUGCGUAACUUUGCAGUCUGAGUAAACUUAAUUAAUAAAUUAAAACUUUUAACAACGGAUCUCUUGGUUCUGGCAUCGAUGAAGAACGCAGCGAAAUGCGAUAAGUAAUGUGAAUUGCAGAAUUCAGUGAAUCAUCGAAUCUUUGAACGCACAUUGCGCCCCCUGGUAUUCCGGGGGGCAUGCCUGUUCGAGCGUCAUUUCACCACUCAAGCCUCGCUUGGUAUUGGGCAACGCGGUCCGCCGCGUGCCUCAAAUCGACCGGCUGGGUCUUCUGUCCCCUAAGCGUUGUGGAAACUAUUCGCUAAAGGGUGUUCGGGAGGCUACGCCGUAAAACAACCCCAUUUCUAAGGUUGACCUCGGAUCAGGUAGGGAUACCCGCUGAACUUAAGCAUAUCAUAGGCGCGGAGGAA